rnacentral:misc_RNA from 1 species
GAUGAAGAACGUAGCGAAAUGCGAUAAGUAGUGUGAAUUGCAGAAUUCAGUGAAUCAUCGAAUCUUUGAACGCACAUUGCGCCCCUUGGUAUUCCAUGGGGCAUGCCUGUUCGAGCGUCAUUUGUACCCUCAAGCUUUGCUUGGUGUUGGGUGUUUGUCCUCUCCUUUGCGUUUGGACUCGCCUUAAAGCAAUUGGCAGCCAGUGUUUUGGUAUUGAAGCGCAGCACAAUUUGCGAUUCUAACCGACUACACUUGCGUCCAUAAGCCUUUUUUAACUUUUGACCUCGGAUCAGGUAGGGAUACCCGCUGAACUUAAGCAUAUCAAUACGGAGGA